rnacentral:rRNA from 1 species
AUACGUAGGGUGCAAGCGUUAAUCGGAAUUACUGGGCGUAAAGCGUGCGCAGGCGGUUUUGUAAGACAGAGGUGAAAUCCCCGGGCUCAACCUGGGAACUGCCUUUGUGACUGCCAGGCUAGAGUACGGCAGAGGGGGAUGGAAUUCCUCGGGUAGGAGUGAAAUGCGUAGAUAUGCGGAGGAACACCGAUGGCGAAGGCAAUCCCCUGGGCCUGUACUGACGCUCAUGCACGAAAGCGUGGGGAGCAAACAGGAUUAGAUACCCUGGUAGUCCACGCCCUAAACGAUGUCAACUGGUUGUUGGGUCUUCAUUGACUCAGUAACGAAGCUAACGCGUGAAGUUGACCGCCUGGGGAGUACGGCCGCAAGGUUGAAACUCAAAUGAAUUGGCGGGG